rnacentral:tRNA from 1 species
GGGCCUGUAGCUCAGUUGGUCAGAGCAGGCGACUCAUAAUCGCUUGGUCGCAGGUUCAAGUCCUGCCGGGCCCACCA